GCACCAGGUAGCUUGGUGGUCAGGCUGCACAUUGGCCUUGCAUGCCAGUGAUCCCAGGUUCGAAUCUUGGCAUAUGCA